GGGUUGUGAGGUUAAGCGACUAAGCGUACACGGUGGAUGCCCUGGCAGUCAGAGGCGAUGAAGGGCGUGCUAAUCUGCGAUAAGCGCCGGUAAGGUGAUAUGAACCGUUAUAACCGGCGAUACCCGAAUGGGGAAACCCAGUGUGACUCGUCACACUAUCAUUAACUGAAUCCAUAGGUUAAUGAGGCGAACCGGGGGAACUGAAACAUCUAAGUACCCCGAGGAAAAGAAAUCAACCGAGAUUCCCCCAGUAGCGGCGAGCGAACGGGGAGGAGCCCAGAGCCUGAAUCAGCAUGUGUGUUAGUGGAAGCGUCUGGAAAGGCGCGCGAUACAGGGUGACAGCCCCGUACACAAAAGCGCAUGUGCUGUGAGCUCGAUGAGUAGGGCGGGACACGUGGUAUCCUGUCUGAAUAUGGGGGGACCAUCCUCCAAGGCUAAAUACUCCUGACUGACCGAUAGUGAACCAGUACCGUGAGGGAAAGGCGAAAAGAACCCCGGCGAGGGGAGUGAAAAAGAACCUGAAACCGUGUACGUACAAGCAGUGGGAGCCCCACCACUAAGCCAGUGGUGAACUCCACAUACGCAUCCUUUGCUGAGGAUACGGUUAACGGAGCGAAAGCGACGUUCAACCUCAAAAGAAGCAGAGGGGGCUUAGUGGUGGGGUGACUGCGUACCUUUUGUAUAAUGGGUCAGCGACUUAUAUUCUGUAGCAAGGUUAACCGCAUAGGGGAGCCGUAGGGAAACCGAGUCUUAACCGGGCGUUAAGUUGCAGGGUAUAGACCCGAAACCCGGUGAUCUAGCCAUGGGCAGGUUGAAGGUUGGGUAACACUAACUGGAGGACCGAACCGACUAAUGUUGAAAAAUUAGCGGAUGACCUGUGGCUGGGGGUGAAAGGCCAAUCAAACCGGGAGAUAGCUGGUUCUCCCCGAAAGCUAUUUAGGUAGCGCCUCGUGAAUUCAUCUCCGGGGGUAGAGCACUGUUUCGGCUAGGGGGCCAUCCCGGCUUACCAACCCGAUGCAAACUGCGAAUACCGGAGAAUGUUAUCACGGGAGACACACGGCGGGUGCUAACGUCCGUCGUGAAGAGGGAAACAACCCAGACCGCCAGCUAAGGUCCCAAAGUCAUGGUUAAGUGGGAAACGAUGUGGGAAGGCCCAGACAGCCAGGAUGUUGGCUUAGAAGCAGCCAUCAUUUAAAGAAAGCGUAAUAGCUCACUGGUCGAGUCGGCCUGCGCGGAAGAUGUAACGGGGCUAAACCAUGCACCGAAGCUGCGGCAGCGAACGUAUCACCCAAGACAACUUUACGGAGUUGACGAUUGACGGAGCGAAGCGACGUCAAAGCGUUCAUUAAAGUCGAGUUGGCUUAGGGAUACGUUCGUUGGGUAGGGGAGCGUUCUGUAAGCCUGUGAAGGUGGCCUGUGAGGGUUGCUGGAGGUAUCAGAAGUGCGAAUGCUGACAUAAGUAACGAUAAAGCGGGUGAAAAGCCCGCUCGCCGGAAGACCAAGGGUUCCUGUCCAACGUUAAUCGGGGCAGGGUGAGUCGACCCCUAAGGCGAGGCCGAAAGGCGUAGUCGAUGGGAAACGGGUUAAUAUUCCCGUACUUGGUGUUACUGCGAAGGGGGGACGGAGAAGGCUAUGUUGGCCGGGCGACGGUUGUCCCGGUUUAAGCGUGUAGGCUGGUUUUCCAGGCAAAUCCGGAAAAUCAAGGCUGAGGCGUGAUGACGAGGCACUACGGUGCUGAAGCAACAAAUGCCCUGCUUCCAGGAAAAGCCUCUAAGCAUCAGGUAACAUCAAAUCGUACCCCAAACCGACACAGGUGGUCAGGUAGAGAAUACCAAGGCGCUUGA
rnacentral:rRNA from 1 species